AUAUAAAUCACUUGGGGACCUUGUUAAAAGGCAGAUUCUGAUUUGGGUCUAGGGUGGGAAGAAAAGAGUCUGCACUUCCAACAAGCUCCCUGGUGAUGCAGAU
rnacentral:pre_miRNA from 1 species